GGGAACUUAGCUCAGUUGGUAGAGCAUUUGGUGUCACUGGUUCGAGUCCAGUAGUUCUCA
rnacentral:tRNA from 1 species